rnacentral:tRNA from 1 species
GAAGCCGUAGCGCAGAGGUCGUCGUGCCCGACUGCUCAUCGGGAGGACGCCGGUUCGAAUCCGGUCGGCUUCGCC